AUUGAACGCUGGCGGCAUGCCUUACACAUGCAAGUCGAACGGCAGCACGGGAGCAAUCCUGGUGGCGAGUGGCGAACGGGUGAGUAAUAUAUCGGAACGUGCCCGGUCGUGGGGGAUAACGUAGCGAAAGCUACGCUAAUACCGCAUACGAUCUACGGAUGAAAGCGGGGGAUCGCAAGACCUCGCGCGAUUGGAGCGGCCGAUAUCAGAUUAGGUAGUUGGUGAGGUAAAGGCUCACCAAGCCGACGAUCUGUAGCUGGUCUGAGAGGACGACCAGCCACACUGGGACUGAGACACGGCCCAGACUCCUACGGGAGGCAGCAGUGGGGAAUUUUGGACAAUGGGCGCAAGCCUGAUCCAGCAAUGCCGCGUGCAGGAUGAAGGCCUUCGGGUUGUAAC
rnacentral:rRNA from 1 species